rnacentral:rRNA from 1 species
GUGUCCUACGGGAGGCAGCAGUGGGGAAUAUUGCGCAAUGGGGGAAACCCUGAUGCAGCGACGCCGCGUGAGUGAAGAAGUAUUUCGGUAUGUAAAGCUCUAUCAGCAGGGAAGAAAAAAAGUCUUUGGCUUUGGACGGUACCUGACUAAGAAGCCCCGGCUAACUACGUGCCAGCAGCCGCGGUAAUACGUAGGGGGCAAGCGUUAUCCGGAUUUACUGGGUGUAAAGGGAGCGUAGACGGCAGCGCAAGUCUGGAGUGAAAUGCCGGGGCUCAACCCCGGAACUGCUUUGGAAACUGUGCAGC